rfam:Virgibacillus massiliensis genome assembly, contig: 000001
GACAGAAAAAGGCAAACGUGCUGAAAGGUACGGGCGCAAAGUCACAGAUCUAAAACAUACAUGUUAUGAUGGCUGGACUUCCUGG